UGCUGGGCAUGUUCAAUAAGGCAGGCCACAAGUCAUCAUCAUCCCAUUGUCGUCUUCUUGUGUUUUAAACACUCCUAACGAACAAAGCUCCCUAGGACAGAGACUCCAAGACUCCUUUCUUACCUAUUUUCCAGUGCAGUCGCAUCAUACAAGAUCUGCAGAUGUACGUGAUGGCUACAGAUAAAUGAGAUUUGGUUUCCCUCAUCCUGGGGCGAAGACCACAACUGAUCAUGAAGGUCCACAGAUACAGCAAGAUGACUGAGUCCUGUCAUGUUCCCUUAGGAGAUGUCAACAGUGAAUGUGUCAGUGCAAAAUAAAAGUCCCCACUUGAUCUUUUUUUUUUAAUCACAGAAUCAAAAAAUGUUGAUAUCAGGAGCCAGGAGCAUAGCUUAAUUCUUGACCUGCCUCUCUCUCUCUCUCUCUCUCUCUCUCUCUCUCUCUCUCUCUCUCACACACACACACACACACACACACACACACACACACACACACACACACGGGGGAUUGAUUAGGGGGUGGAAAAAAAAGAGGAGGAGGAGGAAGAAGAGGAGAAAAGAAUUUUGGGUCAGAAAAGGACCUCAGAGAUCUGCAAUCUGACCUCUCAUUUUAUAUCUGAGGAAAAUGAAUCUGACAGAGACAAACCAUGUACUCAAGGUCACAAAUUACUUACAGCAGAGUCAAAAUAAACACCUAAGUUCUCAAGCUUCAGGCUCAAAACUGCUUUCCCUGUAAAAGUAGCUUCUUUAGGGGAAGGUCAGUGUUUAAUACUCUGGGUAAUUACUGAAUUUACAUAACAUAUUCUUUAAAAGCACGGAAAAUGUUCAUCAGAGGAGGAGUCCUUUGACUGUUUGCAAUGAAAGGAGGAGCAGGGUGCAGUCAGAUGACCUGCCCAGGAUAAAGACUUGGCUACAAAAAAUAAAGAUCUUACUGUUUCAGACAAAUGAAUGUAGUAUGUACUGCAGAGUUUCUCCCAGACUGUGCUUACAGACUUCAUCUAGUCUAACAUUUUCUAAUGGUGGUACCGCAUCUUUGUUUUCAGUGUAUACCACCUCUAAAGAGCCAAGAUUAAUGGGAAACAACAGUCAAACAAAGCUAACAGGCUGGAGAGAUGCCCUAGCCGUUAAGAGAUCACAUGUCUCCUGAAGACGACCCAAGUUAACAGAUCCCAGUAUCCACACCAGGCAGAUUAUAACCACGUACAUCUGCAGCUACAGGGGAUGCAAUGUUCUCCUCUGACCUCUGGGGAAUCCACAUACAUCUAAAUAAAGAUGAAAAAUAAAAUUUUUUUUUUGGUUCUUUUUUUUGGAGCUGGGGACCGAACCCAAGGGCCUUGCGCUUCCUAGGUAAGCGCUCUACCACUGAGCUAAAUCCCCAGCCCUGAAAAAUAAAUCUUUAAGAAAGGAGGAAAAGCUAACCAAAGGAUGGCCACAAGCCAAAAUAUUGACUUACUUCUGAAAAUACAAUUUUACAUUCACUCUUAAUAUAUUCUAGCUCAUGCCUUCUGUGUGAGAGAUUAAAACAAUCACCCUAUCUCUCGCUUUAUUUUGCCUAUCCUACAGUGAGUACCUUUAAAUACCAAGGAAGAGCCCUUGUCCAGGUAUACUCCCUGAAACUGUAAUUAUUUUAACAGAUCUUACUAGUCCUCUGUUCAGCCUUGAUCUGCCAGGUUAAGGAAUCCCUGGUUUUGCUGGGUUUUUUCCUGAAGAGAGGAUAUCGCCUCAUAUUAGGCCUUUCCAUUUUUCAAGUGCUGUAACUGUUCCAUACCCGUUUUGCAGAUAUGGAGUAUUGCCCCACUAUGGAAAACGACUGCACCUCCAACCCACUGUUCCACCAAGGGCAGUGUGGGAACUUAUCACCUCCUCUACCUCCCCUGGUUCGUCUCACUUCAAUUAAGGUUCAUACAAGGCCAGGCAGCCACAUAAUUUGCAGGGCUGAAAGAGCAACAGUGACCCCAAUUCUGUUUUGUUUAAUUCUGUCAGAACAAUGGUCUUCUUCUGUUUGCUCACUCUUCCAUUGGGAUUAACCCUAAACAAAUCAGCGUUUGGGAUGCACAUCCUAUUUCUGAACUAGGAAAUAAGCAAAACACUCAAGGAAACAGUUUAAUGUCAAAGUCUCUAAACAAUAAAAUAAUAAUAACUUUUAUUAUUUUAACUCCAAAGAGAAUGUUACAAAAAUGUUGCUGCAAAUCCUAAGAAGUAGAGUACAGAGCACACACAGGGACAGUUAUCUUCCCCUGGCCUAAUUAAAACAGGUCUUUCUCACACAUCUCUUUAUAAAAAAAAGAAAGAAAAAAAGAAAAAAGCCAGCACUAAAAUAGAAGUGGUAUUUAAGUUCAUCUUGCAAGCUUGAGCAUACUGCUAGGAAGUUAUCAGAAAACAGGGCCUCUGAAAAACAGACAUUUUCUCCUUUUCUCUUAACUAUCUGAUAUACAUUUAUAUUUAAUAAAUAUGUGUUGGAAUAUAUAGGACAUGUUUUAAAUUAUUCAUUGUUAGCCCCUAACUAAACUAACAGCUUCAGUAAAAGAAAAAAAAAAUCCCUCUAUAAAAUUGAAUGUAGCAAAAAAAAAAAAAAAAAAAAAAAAAAAAAGAACCAAAAAAAAAUUGAAUGUAGCAUAAUACCCAAGGAGGAGGGGGGAUCUAAAAUCUGAGCUCAGAACUAUUACAGCAUUUUAGAUGAGAAUUUAUGGCUAUUGCGUUCACUUACUUAGUAGUUACUGUUUAGUCAAUAUUGUGUCAACAUUUGACAAGCACCAUUCAUUUAAUCCUCCCCACCCCCAGACAACUGCCUAAGGUAGACAGAUAGUAACUAUACUAUUUCUUAGUUACAAUGGAGACACCCAAAUCACCAAGAUAUGCAGGACCAAAUGUUUUAAAUAUCAUAAUGAACACUCAGACACAGGCUCCAAAGUAAAAUUUAGCGCUUCUCCACAAGUCAGAACUUUCAUGAGGCUGUGACAGAAAACACCACCUGAGCUAAUUACAGAAAGAAAAAAGAAGUCAAGUCCUAAAUCAGAGGCUGACAAACUUUUUGUGCCAAGGAUUAGAUGAUAAAGAUUUUAGGGUUUGCUGGACUCAAUGCCUCCUGAAAUAAUCAGGUCUACUGUUAGAUGCCAAGUCAGCCAUCAGCAGUGUGUAAGAUAGAUGAAUGUGAUCAUAUCUCAGUAAAGCUUUUUCUUACAGUGCUAAGGAUCAAUCCCAGGGGCUAACACAAGCUAAGCCAGGGCUCUAGAACUGAGCCACUGAGUGAGAACCCCAGCUCCCAAUAAUUUUUUUUUUUUAAUUUUCCACAACUUGGUCAGCAAGUCCCCCUCUCUUAGCUCAUGAGUCACUCAGGCCUGUAGCCUGCACUGGAUCAACCCCAACCUAGAUGAUUCAGACAGGCUGGAGAGAUGGAUCCGUCAAUAAAAGUAUGAGGACCUGAGUUCAGAUCUCCAGAAUACACAUCUUUUUUUUUUCUUCUUCUUCUUUUUGGAGCUGGG